rnacentral:rRNA from 1 species
AUUGAACGCUGGCGGCAGGCUUAACACAUGCAAGUCGAGCGAGCGGCGGACGGGUGAGUAAUGUCUGGGAAACUGCCUGAUGGAGGGGGAUAACUACUGGAAACGGUAGCUAAUACCGCAUACCAUCAGAUGUGCCCAGAUGGGUGUAGCUAGUAGGGGGGGUAAUGGCUCACCUAGGCGACGAUCCCUAGCUGGUCUGAGAGGAUGACCCGUCAGACUGGAACGGAGACACGGUCCAGACGCCUAGGGGAGGCAGCAGUGGGGAAUAUUGCGCAAUGGGCGCAAGCCUGAUGCAGCCAUGCCGCGUGGGGGAAGAAGGCCUUCGGGUUGUAAAGCACUUUCAGCGAGGAGGCGUUACUCGCAGAAGAAGCACCGGCUAACGCCGUGCCAGCAGCCGCGGUAAUUC